CGGCGAACGGGUGAGUAACGCGUGGAUAACCUGCCCUGAGGUGUGGAGCAACCGGGGGAAACUCCGGCUAAUACCGCAUGAUACCGAGAGGUCAAAGGAGGCGCCCGCAAGGGGCUUCCGCCAUAGGAGGGGUCCGCGUUCGAUUAGCUAGUUGGCAGGGUAAUGGCCUACCAAGGCGACGAUCGAUAGCCGGCCUGAGAGGGUGAUCGGCCACACCGGAACUGAGACACGGUCCGG
rnacentral:rRNA from 1 species